AAGACUUGUGAAAUAUUAAUUCACAUCUCAUGAAUGCAACUCAAACACUUUAAUUAAGCUAAAGCCUC
rnacentral:tRNA from 1 species